GCAGGUAAUAGAGAAGCAAAGACUAAUAGAAUUUGCGGAAGCACUUCGCAGUAAGCUCAACUAUUUUGAUGAAUUGGAAAAUAUAUCUACCAACUUUUAUUCUCCAAAUAUGAAUGUUGUAAAUCAGAACUUUCUCACUCUGCUCAAACGACUUGAUGACUGCAUAUCGUAUGUUGAAAACAAUCCACAGUAUGCGGAAUCCGGUGUUUACUUGCAGGUCUACAUAUUUAUAUGAUACAUUGCGGCGAAAACUUAUUCACGAAACAAACAUCGAAUAUGGUGGUCUCGUGUCUGUGGAUGGAAUGGAAUGGCAUAAUUUUUUAGGAAAAAGCGAUGGGCCAAUUGAUAUUUUUGAGAAGGCAAAGUUCUAUGCAUUGCUAUGGGCUGCUUCAGGUUCCUGUUUACUUUGGUCAUUUUGAAUUAGGAAGAUGUAAUAGGGAUUUGAUUUGAGAUAUCGUUUGUGUUUAUCUUGCUCUUUUUGUAUGAUAGUCAGUUUUUCACACCUGGCCAUUUUUGUUUCUUUUUGGUUUGAGGAUUCCUUGUCCUCUGCCCUUGUUAUUGAAUUUUAUCAAUAAAGUUUUUAUUGUCAAAAAAAUA